GGAAGUUAUGUUGUUCAAAAUAAAGAGGACCAACUUAGUUAAUAAGGUUUGUAUCUACUCCUAUCAAGAAGGCUUGAGGUAUCUCACGGGUAUAGAAUAACCCUUGCAAGAUUACAUUGAGAGGUCAAACUUUACACUGCAUUCCCAUUGCUGAAACUCCGAAACCCGAUGUUUUUCCUUGGAUUUCUCGAAAUUGAAACUGAGGAUUCAGUCAUCAUCCAG
rnacentral:lncRNA from 1 species